UACGUAGGGGCCGAGCGUUGUCCGGAGUUAUUGGGCGUAAAGCGCGCGCAGGCGGCCUCGCGCGCCCGACGUGAAAGCCCCCGGCUUAACCGGGGAGGGUCGUUGGGGACGGCGGGGCUUGAGGGCGGGAGAGGGUGGUGGAAUUCCCGGUGUAGCGGUGAAAUGCGUAGAGAUCGGGAGGAACAUCAGUGGCGAAGGCGGCCAUCUGGGACAACACUGACGCUGAAGCACGAAAGCGUGGGGAGCAAACAGG
rnacentral:rRNA from 1 species